CAUCCUGGGGCUGGAGAAGGUCCCAAGGGUCCGGCUGUUCGCCGGUUAAAGCGGUACGCGAGCUGGGUUCAGAACGUCGUGAGACAGUUCGGUCUGUAUCCGUCGUGGGCGUUGGAGGAUUGAGGGAGGCCGUCCCUAGUACGAGAGGACCGGGACGGACGAGCCUCUGGUGUACCGGUUGUGCUGCCAAGCGCAGUGCCGGGUAGCUAUGCUCGGACGGGAUAACCGCUGAAGGCAUCUAAGUGGGAAGCCCCGCCCAAGAUGAGUCCUCCCAGGCCUUAGGGCCUCUGAAGGGCCGUGGAAGACCACCACGUUGAUAGGCGGCAGGUGUACAGGGGGUGACCCCUUCAGCCGAGCCGUACUAAGGGCCCGUGUGGCUUGACCAG
rnacentral:rRNA from 1 species